ACCCAUGGGCUGAGCUUGGACUUCCAGCCUCCAGAACUGUAAGAAGAUACAUUUCUUUUGUUUAAGCUCCCAGUCUGUGGUACUUUUUGUUAUAGCAGCCCAGGUAAAUGGAUAUACUCAUCAAUGGAAAGUUCACAGCCUUGAGGUUGGGACUUCAGUCCAGAAAAGUUCUGAAGGUAAUAAUCAUCAACGCAAAAAUCAAGAAAGCCUUUCAAUACAGUUUCUCUUUCUGAAUCUGUCACAAGUGGUCUACUGGCAGCUUAAGAAGGUGGUCCUGGUGGCAGAGCCUGGGAUGAAGGCUGACCUCCCCCAAAACCCCUGGGGCCACUGGCUCGGAAGGGGAGGGGCCAUGGCUGUAGAUUCUAGAAGUCUAGCAAGACUUAGUAGUUGUUUUAGGCAUAGUCUAAGAGGCUCAUCUGUUUGAGACUUAACUCUUUCCCCCUUCUGCGCAAGGCAGGCCUUCUUCCUCCCUCACCUCUUCCUCUCUCUGGGGCUUUUCCUACCCACCCCUCCUGCAAGCAUACUUUAUUACCAGGAAAGUCAGAAGAAGGGACUGUAUCAUCCAGAUCCCGAUAUGGUUUUGGUUUUCCUUUUGUGGGAAGGGUGAUAAAGGACAGAAGGGACACCUGCUGUAUAAGCAGGUGAUAGGAUAUGGGUGGGAUGGUAGGCAGAAUAAUGGUCCCUAAAUUUCAAAUCUUUGGAAUGUGAAUAUGUUACCUAACAUGGCAGAGAGAACUUCCCUGCUGUGAUUAAGUUAAAGCUCUUAAAAUGGAAAGAUUAUCCUGGAUUAUCUAGGUGGCCCAAUGUAAUCACAAGGGCCCUUGCAGGAGGGAGGCAGGCGAGUCAGAGUCAGAGAGGGAGAUGUGACAGAGAGGCUUGAAGAUACUACACUGCUGCUGGCUUUGAAGGUGGAGGAAGAUGCUGGAAGGCGAGGCCGGCAGGCCGGUCGUGGAGCUGGAAAGGCUCCUCCAAGGAGCUGGAAUGGAUUCUCCCCCAGAGCUUCCACGAUGGUGCAGCUCUGUAGACCUCUAAAAUAAAGGCCAUGUGAGACAUAGCCAAAAGGCAGCCAUCUUCAACCAAAGACAAAAACCAAACUUCUCACUGGACAUCUAACAUGCUGGCACUUUGAUUUUGGACUUCCCAGCCUCCAGCAUUGUGAGAGAAUAAAUGUCUGUUGUUUCUACCUCCUGCUUCUUGGGGGACAUAGUUUUUCAUUCCCCCUCAGCCACAGCAAUGCCACACAUAAUCCCACAGCGAUCCUAUGAGGGCCUUGAACCAGCAUUCCUGUGUUUGUGUCCUGUGUCCUGCAGGGGCCGGACCUUGGCUGGUGAGCCUUGGAAAAGGGUUACUGUCACUGAACCAUGAAUAAAAAACUGCAAAAUCAAAACAAAUAAGGAUUGAAUUAAAUGCUGCUAUAAACUAAUAUUACUAUGUCAGCAUCACUUAUUGUUAAACAAUUAACAAAAUUAUAUUACAUUUGAAAAUGCUUUGUAGAUUAGAUGUAUGGUUUUUUUCCAUUUUGUGAGGAAUUCUUAUAUAGGUAAUAUUACAAAGGAAUCAUAGGUAAUCAAACUAAAUAAAUUUUACAGACAUAAUUAUAACUGUAGACAAAAAAAAGAUGAAAAUUCUUCCAAAGUACUUUUCCAGAAAACAAAUCCACUUAAAGAGGAUGUGGAUCAUUGUACUAUGUUUGAAAUGAUACAGGAUAGCUCUUCAAAAGGAAGCAGAGCCUGGGUUCCUACAGAGUCCCUGAAUUACCUGGCUGCCCUCACUGUCGCUCCCUGCGGGAGGAUGCCAGGCACAGAAGAAAGGAUGUGCCCAAGGCCAGCCAGCAAGUACAGAGGUGCAACUCCAAACCUCACCACCGAGGCACAAGGCUGCUUCUGUUCAGUGUCCUCAGGGACAUCCUUAAAUAAGAUCACAUAGACCAGUGCCCCUCGCUAUAGACACACAUUUUGGAGUAGGUUCACUGAUUUGUGCUCCAUUGUAAUUAUCCACAAAAACUCACCAGCCACUCCCUCACCUGACUUUGUGAGAUUGUGCCAGAGAGCAUUUAGCACUAUGUGUAAGCCUGGAGAAUUCACUAUGUGCCAUCCCCCUUAGAAAGUUUAUCAGAAACUGAAAGAAAGAAACUCUUAGCCCUAUCUAGAAACAGGAAUACUGAAAAAGGAGGGUAGUAUGGUGGAUGACUUCAAGGGCUUAUUAGUCUUGGGUUUGGAAUUCUGUGACCUUGAGCAAGGAACUUCUCCAGGCCUUGGCUUCCUCAUUUGUAAAUCAGGUGAUAAGAGAAGAUCCUGAGUUUCUCUGAGGUUUCAGUGAGAUAAUGUAUGUAUUUCCUUUGCUUGCAAACAUAUUAUAGCUACAAAGGUAUUAUAAGCGCUCUAAUGCUAGCUUAUAGUAUUAUUACUAGCUUUCAUACCUUAUCAAUAGCAUAGUUCUUUGUCCAGGACUUAAAAAGUACAUCCAAGAGAUAGGCUGAUAGAAAUACAAAAGUUAUAACUCCUACAAAGGGGAAUAUAGCAAUAUGUGGUAGCCUGGGUCUCUGAGAGACUGUGUGGAGCAGACUGCCUGCCAGCUUUCCUGGAACAGAUAGUAUGAGUUGAAAUGCUUUUGUUAAGUUUAAUCACUGAGAUUUGGGGGUUGUUUGUUACUGUAGCAAAACCUAACCUAAUUAAAGUGACCUUUGACCUAGCAAUUACACUUUAGAGAGUAAUCCUGCAUGCUGAAGACAGCCUGGAUAAAAUGAGAUGUGUAUGCAAAAUCAUUCAGUUAACCAUUGCUUAAAAUAGCAAAAUAUUGAGAACAAUCUAAAUGUGUGGCAAAGAGGAAAUUGGUUAAGUGAUUUGUGAUAUAUCCAUACAAUGGCAUACUAAGUAGUUGUAAAACAUAAUUGGAAAUUCUCAAGGGAAAUGUGAAAAUAUUACCAUGACAUUAUUAAGCAAAAAAUAAAUAAAUAAAUAAAGGUUGUGCGAUAUUAUAUAUAGUAAACUAUCGUUUGUGUAACAAUAGGGGAAAACAUAUUCAUAAGGUUUCAAUAUGCCACAAAUAUAUAUUUAUACAGAAGAAAGAAAAUUGAUAAUGGUGGGUUAAGGGGAAUAGAAACUGGGCAUGGAGUCAAUGCAUUUUUCUUCCUGUAUUUUGAUUUUUGAGCUAUGUGAAAUUUUUUAAUUAAAAACAUAGAUACUAAAAAUAAAUAAAAUCCUUUGCUGGCUAUUUACAGCUUAUACAAACCUUGAAAGUGUAUCUCUAUUGCCACUUCAGGCCUGGCCAUUUUCUGUUUUGGGUGCAGUGCUUCAGCUUCAUCUGACUGCAUCUGGUUCCCGGAGGUAUCAGGUGGUUUCAUCCCCCCUGACUGCUAGCUGGGGUUGAGCUGGCCUUGUUCGCACUAAUGGGAUGUACCUCCCUUGCUCUAUGUCUUUCAGGACCAAGACAUCUUUCCUGGGGCAUCUCUCUGAUCCAGCCAGGCAGAGUUCCUAGCCUAGGCUGACUUCUGUGGUCACAUAUCUCCUUUUAUAUAUGGCUACUGUUGAAUUUUUAUCAUAUUAAAUUAUAAUGAUCUGUUUACAAAAAUGCUGCCUUUUCUAGAAAGCAUAAUUAGGUCGGGUCAUCUUUCUAUCCCCAUGGCCUAGUAUAGGGCAUGCCAUAGUAUAGGCAUUUAAUAACUGUAUCCAUUAAUUUUUUGUAAAUAAAAGGUUAAUAACAAUGAAGUAAUAAAAUGUUAUAUUUGAAAAUAGAGUCUACCUAUAUCUGCUGCCAUAGCCCUCCAGCAGCCUGAAUUCUUUCCCUCAGUGUGGUUUCAAAUAUAUUGUUCUCUGUGUGCUACGAUAUUGAAAAGGAUGGUAUGUCCUAAGUAAGUCUGUGGUGGUAUUUUCAAACGACACUAUUUUAAAUUUGAUGAACAUUUGCUAGAGCAACGCUGCUCCAAAACAUUAUUUAAAAGAAAAAGAAAACAAAGCACUCUGAAUUUAAACCAAAUCAAUAACAAGGUUUAAAAAAAAGAGAAGGUUGAAUAAAAGACAUUUGGAGACAUGCUGCUGAUCACUUCCCCAAGGUGGUUUUGAUUGUAUCUACCCAUUGUUAGAUUUCCGUAAUAUUACGUGAAGUAAAAUUAUGUCUGAUUUAGUAAAAGAAAUUCAUAUAACUCAGACACUUUGAUUAUUAUUCUUAAAAACUUAUGAAAUAACAUCAAACAAAAGUUGUAACAUUGAUUUUGAUAAUUCAGUAUUUGAGCUAAUAUAAUAAAAGUAAAAAUGCUAACAAAAUAGUAUAAAAAACAUCUAAAAUAUAUGGAGUGCCUUUGUGCCAAAUGUUUUACUAGGUACUUCAACCUGAUCUCAUUUUAUUUAAGCCUGGUAUCUGGAGUGCUAAGUAGCUUUAACCCCAUUUUACAGGUGAGGAAAAUGUGGUUCAGAGAGAGUAACUUGCUUCAGACCACAACACAGCCACGAAGUUAUGGCUACAAGUCUUGGGCCUCGAAUGCCCUUUCUAUUAUUCUAUACUUUCUUCCACAGGAGUGUGUUCUGAACUCAGUGUUAGGAGUGUAUUUGAGGAGACCAUCUGUAAAACCAGCACUGAGAUACAGGAGACAUAAAAGGAAGUCCAACUGCCUCUAUACCUCCUAGCAGCACAGGUUCUGCGAACCGAACCCUGCGCCCAAGGCGUAUCCAGCAGCUUUCUGUUUCCACCCAAUGAUACACGUUGGUUAAAACUAGGAAAUACCUAAAUGCACACAUUUCUCCAAAACAUUUCAGAUCCACAAAGCUUUGGAUUGGUAUUUGAUUUUGCACUUCAUUGAUAUAUUAUUGUAAAAAUGCUUUGGCUUUUUCCUCAGUGAAACCAAACAAAAGUCAUAAUGUAUGUUCUUCCAAGUUAAAGCAUUCAUGGCUUCAACCGAAGUGUUGCAUAUACAGCUGUGGCGAUAUUUACAUAGGUAAGCAUCUUAGUUGAAUAUGAAAUACACAUAGGAUCAACGUGAAGUUGACUUUACAGUUAAUUUUAAUGGGUGUGAUGUAUAAUUUAAGAGGGUGUGAUUCCCAGGUUCACACUCCAAAUCACAGCAGUAAGUGAUUUCAGCAGUUGUCUAAAUUAUGGCGUGUUCCAAAACUAACAGUAAGGUCAGACUCUAA